CAGAGCACACACUUUCCCACAAUCCCCCUUGUUGGCAUAAACAGUAGAGACUUAUGGGCAAUAUGCAGUUGAACUGUGCAUGCUUGAUCAUCUCAGUGCUCACAGCCAGAGGCAAUAGGGCAAAACAAGGCAGGCACAGGGUGGAUUAUCCAUGUUCCAGGAAUGUCUCUGAUGUCACCAGAAGCAGCAAUGACCUGACCUGAAUAGAGGCAUCCAGGUCCUGCAUGGGUCAGACAGGCUAGAUGUCAUCUACAAUAUUGACUGCAUGUAAUGGGUAUUGAUUUCAUACAAUGGGCUCUGUGCAUAUUUAUUAUUUAUUAAUAUAUUA